AGAGUUUGAUCCUGGCUCAGAACGAACGCUGGCGGCGUGCUUAACACAUGCAAGUCGAACGGAGUUAAGGCAGGGACAAAGGCAAGGGGUUAGUAUAUAGGGAAUAGGGAUUGCAAAAAACAAACCCCCCAUCCCGAAUCCCUGGUUUUUGUCCUUGUCUUAACUUACUGGCGGACGGGUGAGUAACACGUAGGUAACCUGCCUUGAAGUGGGGGACAACCCAGGGAAACUUGGGCUAAUACCGCAUAAGACCACUAUCUGGGAGGAUUGUGGUAAAAGCAGCAAUGCGCUUUGAGAGGGGCCUGCGGCCUAUCAGGUAGUUGGUAAGGUAAUGGCUUACCAAGCCUAACACGGGUAGCCGGACUGAGAGGUUGAACGGCCACACUGGAACUGAUAUACCGUCCACACUCCUACGGGAGGCAGCAGUGGGGAAUUUUGCGCAAUGGGGGAAACCCUGACACACCGACCCCGCGUGGAGGAUGAAGGUUUUCAGAUUGUAAACUCCUUUUGUACGGGAAAAUAAUGAUGGUACCCUAUGAAUAAGCCACGGCUAACUCUGUGCCAUCAGCCGCGGUAAGACAGAGGUGGCAAGCGUUGUUCGGAAUUACUGGGCUUAAAGGGCGCGUAGGUGGUGGCAUAAGUCCAAGGUGGAAGGCUAAGGCUUAACCUUAUAAUUGCCUUGGAAACUGUAUCACUUGAGUAAGCGAGGGGAUGGC
rnacentral:rRNA from 1 species